CAACUCAUAGCAAAAUCAACACAUGAAAAAAUUAAAAAUUGAAAGUCUUAAUAACAGAAUGUAAAAGAUCCCAAUUGGUUACAUUAUUCCCCCAAACAAUGAAUUUAGCUGCUCAUAAUACAAGAAAAGUAGGAAUUUGUCUUAGAAUACAUCACUGAAUUUGUAAUAAAAAUUUAGAAGAAAAAGUAGAAUUCUUGCACCAAAAUAUCCUUCAUCUUCCAAUGAAUGCUUCUAAUCUUCAAUUGUUUGGUGUUAAUCUUCUUGAAUUUCUCUUUUAAAUCUCUCUUCUUGUUGUCUUCUCUCCAAUAUGUCAAGAACCCUUCAAAAGUAUGAGAAAGAUGUAUUUACAGCUGCCCUUCCGUUUUAUGUAGAAGUAGGGUUUUUAUGGAUUUAAAAACGGUCCAAAAAAACGCGCCCUAGAUAUUCAAUUGCAGCGCCUAGGCGCUGAUGAUAGCGCCUCGGCGCUAUGGUUGCGGCACUGUCUCUCGGGUCCAAAUUUCAUCUUUUUUUCAGUUUCGUAGCGCUUAGGCACUGCCUCUUCGUCCACUUUAAUACCUCUUUUCACAUCGCUUCUCCUAAUCUUCAAAACAACACUAAUAAACACAUCAAAAACGUUAUAUACUCACAAGAUCUAGCAUUUAAUUAAACUAAAAUUGUGCAAAAAUAUGAGUGAAACAAACUCAUCACUCGACAUACAAGUCCUCAUCAUCGGGAGCCACACGGGAUGAAUUGGAGGACGGUACACUUGUUCCAACCUGUAAACUCCCACCCGGCUCAUAUUUCUGUUGGGAUAAAGCAAUCAAAUUCUCAUUUGUAAACUCGUUUAUAUUCUCAUUGUCAUCAACUGUCGAUGGAAUUCUAUGCGUAACAGCGACAUCACGAUCAAAAGCAACUGUCUCAGGAAUAACCACAUCAUCCGCAGGAACUAUCUCCACUGUCUCCCAAAAACCUCGAUCAUUGUUAUCCGCCUUACCUGAAUUUUCGCGUUCACCUUCGAUAACAUCCUUCUUAAUUAAAGUCACACCAAGAACAGUCGGAGUCCGAUGCAUUUUAUUCAAUUCUAAUAGAUAAUUCAAUUCAGCAUCAUUAGUAACGAAUACCAAUGGCAUCGGAAUAGAUGAAUCCCCAUAACUGUUGAAUAGAUAUCGCAAUUGCAUAUCGUACUGAGAUUGAUCGACAUUUAGCUUAUUUUGCAAAUGGUGAUACAUUUCUGAGUAUGAUGUACUCUCUAUUAUGAUAAUUGCAAUACAACCACAUAUGUCACUUGUCCAUCUCCAUUCCCACCGAUUAUUUUCAUUCAAUUCGAAAUCACCAAUAUAACAGAAGGGGAUUAUCAUAUCUACAUGAGGAAAUAGAUUCAAUCAACUUCAUAAUUAUAAGAAAAAAUCAGUGCCAAUAGUCGGCUGUUAAACAUCCAAACCAUCGGCUGUUUAAUAGCCAACAGUCAGCCGACUGUUUAGUUGUUUAACAGCCGACUGUUUGGCUAUUUUGCACAUGAAUUUUUUUUCUUCUAUGGUUCUAAAGAAAAAAAGUAUAGAUCUGUUCAAAUUUUUUUAUAUAGGUAAGAUCUGUUAACAAAAAUUUAUACUAACUAUUACUAUAUUGAAAUAAAAUUUCUCUAGUCAAACUAGGGCUGGGCAAAUCUCCUGAAUCGAAUCGACCGAACCCGAACCCGAACCGACGGUUCUUGUCAAAUUAAAUACCCGAACGGGUAUCUGAAUUGAGAACCGACGGGCACGGUUCGGUUCUCGAUUUUAGACCAAGAUCUGAAGAAUCGAAUAAGAACCGAAUAUUUCUAUUUUUUUUAUUAAGUAAAUCAAAUUAUGUUAAUUUUAAUUUGUUCUAAACAAAUUAACAAUUUAUGAAUCCAAAUUUUUGACCCAAUAAUUUAUUUCAUUUCUAAUUUUUUAAUUUUUGGCCCCAUUACCCAUUUUAUUGUUUCAUUUCUUAGCAGAACAAGAUUCAAUCCGUUAAAUAACUCUAAACACCUACACUAAAGUGCAUAACGUUGUCUAGACUCUCAUACUCACUCUCGUAGCCUCCCUGACGUUUCAAAAUCUAUACAAUCGUCGACCGAUGCUGUGACCUUCAAUCGAAGUUGCGACCUCCAUCGACCGAAACUUUGACCAUAGCAAUCAUUUGAAUAAGGUAGUCUACUAGUCUAUUGAAUUCCAAAAUCAUUGGAUGUAUCAUUAAUUGUAUUUAUAUAAUGUUGUUAUAAAUGUUAAAAAAUAUAAUUAUAGUACAUAACCGAACUGAACCGAACCAAACCCGAACGAUUCCAUAAUUAUAUUUGGACCCAACGGUUCCAUUUACUAGAGACCCGAAAAUUUUGGUUCGGUUCGGUACUAAAGAGAACCGAACCGACCCGCGUCCACCCCUAAUUCAAACGUAUACUAAUUUACUGAAAACGAAAUUAAACAUGUGUAAAUAUACUUACCGAUUUGAAGUAAUUGAUAUCAAAAAAAUUCUGGCUUCAGCGUUUGAACGUUUUUUGAGAUGUUGAAGUUGAAGUUGAAGUAGAUGAAAGAUGAGAGAUUUUUCUGUCUUGGAAGCUCCUUUUGAAGUUUUAUAAGUGGGGAAGUGUUUAAUUUUCAAUUAUUAACUAAAAGGGUAGUAAGUCCUUUCAACAAUACAUUGUUUUGUAAUUGUAUAAUGCAUUUAAAGGCAUCUUUGUCUUUUACCAUUCAAGAGGCCAAUGUGAUAAUAUUCAUAAUUUUCAAAGUUAAAGUGGAAUUUUGAACCUUUGACUUGGUCAAAUUUAAAAGUACCCCCUGAACCGAAGACUAAUAAUGUACUAGCUAGCUGAUGGAGUUCUGACUAAUAUCAAAUUCUUGACUAGAUCCAGAACUCUGAGAUCUCGACUUAAAACUCCCAGUAUCAUUAACACUAGUCCAAAAUCUUCCUCUGUUCUUUUUAUGCUGUCCACUAGAGGUUCUUGUUUGGCUUUGAUUUUCCCAAAUAGCUAACUGAAUCCCCCAAAUCUGUCCUGCUUGUAAUGCUGCCUCAACUCUCAAGGUCGCCUCAACUAAUGGAACAAAUCUGGCAUGUCCCUGCCGCGUCACCAUCGCCCUAAUAUCAGGCCUCAAGUUCUCUUCAAAUUGUCUGCUUUUGUCAUUCUCCUCAUUUGCUAGAACCAAUGCAUACUUCGAAAGCUCCACAAACUUGGUAUGAUAUUCAGAAACAGUCAUUGAACCUUGAGUAAGUCUCAAGAACUCAUUUUGCUUGGCAUUCUUUUAUGAAAGAGGAUAUUCGGUCUCAAAGAAAGCAUCUCUAAAAAUAGCCCAUGUGAUGUCAUUGGCUUCACAAUACCUGAUCUUAAAAGCAAAUUACCAGUCAACUACCACACCUUUCAGUAAGAAAGUAGCAAGGCGUAGUUUCUUUUCCUCAGAACAACCCAUAACAUCAAAAACACUUUCUAAAUUCCUAAUCCAUUCCUCAGUAUCAGUAAGGUUAGCUAUGCCCACAAAAUGUUUAGGACCGAGCUUAAUUCCCCUCUCAAUGCUAGUAUCUCUAUUUGGGUUGGGAAGAAUAGAGGCAAUGGCUGUAGCGAGUUUGUCGAAUAGGGGUUCAUUUCCAACCACAUUACCCUGUGUUGGUAGUCCUUGCGUCUGAUGAACUAAUGCCUCACCGACAUCUUUUCCUAGAGGGGCAUUUGGAUUUUCAGGUGAUCAGUGUCGACACCUACCUGCUUUGCCAGUGCGCAUCCUUAACCUACAAUAUGCAUAACAUGUUGAAAGAUUAGUAUAAAUACAACAUAUCCCAGGGACUCUUGAACCAUGCUUUGAUACCAACUUGACACAUCCCAUCCCGAACUCCUUACAAGACUCAAAGACAUGGCGUGUGCCGAUGAUAAGUGCCAACUAAAAUAUAACUAAACUUUGAUAAUAAGGCUUCAUUUGACCAACUAAAAUUUUUCUGAACUUCAAUAUACCAACAUUAUAUUAUCAUUCACUCCCCAAGCCAAAAAAACAUCUUUAUCAUUUGCAUCAUAACUGCCUCUCAAAAGGAUAAUUCUAGGGCAGUUUAGAUUACAAUAUUCCAUCGUGAUCAUUGGUACAUAUAAAUACAAAAAUCCUCAAAUAUGAUGCAAAUCACUUGAUGAUUACACAGUUUUAAACAAAAUAACCUACAAUUGGUGGUGGUAGUGGCUGCAAAACAAUCAAUAUGACCUUUACCACAGCUUAGUCAACAGCCUCUUAUAAGGAAAAGUUAAGAAAAUGUAAGAGAUAAUAAUCCCAGUGAGUUGAGUGUUUAAAAUAUGGUUGUACUGUCCUUUAUGUAUGUAUAUAUAAUUAUAUACAAGAAAAUGAGUAAGUGCAUUAGACGAAUUCAAUGAAAUGAAAUCAUAAUCUGAAAUCCAUAAUCUGAACUGUAAAUGGGAAAAUGUAAGCUGAAGGCUAAUAAUCUACCAUAUACUUAAAAUUCAUAUCAACAUAUAUCCAUGCAAACAUCUACUAAUGAUCUGAAAGCUAUAUAAUCAUAUGCACAUGAACCGUUUGAUCAAUACUCUGUAUACGACCGUAGCCUCUCGGUGCACAAGAUGGAAGCAACAUAAUCAUCCUUAUACAGGGCUGUAGCCCUCAGUGUAUAAUAGAUACCUUUACCCAAGGUCGUAGCCCCUCGGUGGAUAAGAGUUACCCUUACACACGCCUGUAGCCCCUCAAUGCACUAGAGUAAGAUGAUUAUAUCAAUUAUUUUCUGAUAAUUUCAAAACAAUCAUGCUCAUUUACUAAUUUCUCGAAAAAAGGACUUUUCAUGUAAUUAAUAUGCCUCUAUAAAAUAAAAAGAAAAUCUUUUUUUUUUUUUUUUGGAAAAGUAGGUUUUUCACUCACAGAUAUAGGCUAAACUAACGGGGCUAGUAUGUUGUUCCCACGUCCAAAUCCCCUCCUGAAAUGAUCAUACAUAUAAGCCACUUCAAUUUCAUCCAUAUACAAUUACAAGGGAUUUCUCAAUAAUAACCCCUAUUUAUUAUCAAAAUGAAAUAUAUAUCCAUCAAUAAGCUGAGACUUAGCCCCUGUUUGGCCUCCAUUAAUUUUUAUUCUAUUACAUUUCAUUUUUCUUUUUUAUUUUUAAUCACACAAUCUUUCAUAAAAUAAUAUUACAUGUAAACCGAAAUUUUUCAACCACUCAUUUUUCAAAUAAAUAUUAUUCCACCCAUUUUCAUUACCACAAAAUGGGGGCCAAACGAGGGCUUAAUAUUUCUAUUUCAUUUGGUUAACUUAAACAUACGUUCACCUAAUUUUCGAAUCACUCUACAUCCCAAACUCGUUAAUACUAACCUUUCCCGGUUGCCUCGUCAAGAUUCAACAAACUUUUCAUGACAAUAAUUAUCCACAUUCCUUAUUUAAAUUCUCUUUUAACUAAAUACAUAAAUCUUAUCAAAAACUCAUUUCUUAUAUUUUCAAUAUUCAUCCAAAC
rnacentral:lncRNA from 1 species